AGUCUUACAUAUGGGCCCUGGCUUGGAUCGCUAAUCAAAAUAUUCAAAGCCUCUUCUCAAGGCCCAAAAAUCGUUCAUAACAACAUAAGAAAACCCUAACAUAUUAUUCCUUCCCUAUAAAACAUCUCUGCCAGUCCCCACAAUCACCUCAAUCGCCGCCGCCGACAGGUGCAUAUCAACUUUACAGUACCAAAACAAAUGACUAAAGAUGAGAAUCAAGACAUGCAAUUUAACUUGCAUGGAUAUUCAAAAAGUGCAAAAGAUAAAUAUGAAAUUGGAGGGAGAUGAGGUGGACAUUUGUAGAUAACAAGAAUGGAUCAACAAAUAUAGAAGACCAAGUGAGGUUAGCUAAAAAAAUUUUGCUAACGAGUUGUGGUUGGAGAGGACAAUUAUAUAUAUUGCUUAGCUAUAUGAGGUGCCAACUAAGAUUUUCGUAUGGGUUGGAGAUGCUCCUAUAAGUUACUCUUUCGAAUUUCGAUUGAUUUUAUAAGUUUCUUCCUGUUCGGAAUGUAUGAAAAUCUUGAUUAGUAUGA